AGUGAACGCUGGCGGUAGGCCUAACACAUGCAAGUCGAACGGCAGCACAGUAAGAGCUUGCUCUUACGGGUGGCGAGUGGCGGACGGGUGAGGAAUACAUCGGAAUCUACUUUUUCGUGGGGGAUAACGUAGGGGAACUUACGCUAAUACCGCAUACGACCUACGGGUGAAAGCAGGGGAUCUUCGGACCUUGCGCGAUUGAAUGAGCCGAUGUCGGAUUAGCUAGUUGGCGGGGUAAAGGCCCACCAAGGCGACGAUCCGUAGCUGGUCUGAGAGGAUGAUCAGCCACACUGGAACUGAGACACGGUCCAGACUCCUACGGGAGGCAGCAGUGGGGAAUAUUGGACAAUGGGCGCAAGCCUGAUCCAGCUAUACCGCGUGGGUGAAGAAGGCCUUCGGGUUGUAAAGCCCUUUUGUUGGGAAAGAAAAGCAGCAGGUUAAUACCCCGCUGUUCUGACGGUACCCAAAGAAUAAGCACCGGCUAACUUCGUG
rnacentral:rRNA from 1 species